CAAUAUGUUGAUAAUUUUAUCAAUCCCUAACUAUCGUUCUAAUGAUUGUUGUAUAGUAAACCUACUUUGGUAGAAAGGGCGUUUACGCAACAGAUA